UACGUAGGUGGCAAGCGUUGUCCGGAUUUACUGGGCGUAAAGAGCGCGCAGGCGGCCAAGUCAGUCGAAUGUGAAAGCCCCCGGCUCAACUGGGGAGGGUCAUUCGAUACUGCUCGGCUCGAAGACAGGAGAGGGAAGUGGAAUUCCCGGUGUAGUGGUGAAAUGCGUAGAUAUCGGGAGGAACACCAGUGGCGAAGGCGACUACCUGGCCUGUUCUUGACGCUGAGGCGCGAAAGCUAGGGGAGCAAACGGG
rnacentral:rRNA from 1 species